rnacentral:rRNA from 1 species
UACGAAGGGGGCUAGCGUUGCUCGGAAUCACUGGGCGUAAAGGGUGCGUAGGCGGGUCUUAAGUCAGGGGUGAAAUCCUGGAGCUCAACUCUGGAACUGCCUUUGAUACUGGGUAUCUUGAGUAUGGAAGAGGUAAGUGGAAUUGCGAGUGUAGAGGUGAAAUUCGUAGAUAUUCGCAGGAACACCAGUGGCGAAGGCGGCUUACUGGUCCAUAACUGACGCUGAGGUGCGAAAGCGUGGGGAGCAAACAGG